rnacentral:rRNA from 1 species
GACGUAGGGCGCGAGCGUUGUCCGGAUUUAUUGGGCGUAAAGAGCUCGUAGGCGGCUUGUCGCGUCAACUGUGAAAACCCGUGGCUCAACCAUGUGGUCUGCAGUCGAUACGGGCAGGCUAGAAUUCGGUAGGGGAGACUGGAAUUCCUGGUGUAGCGGUGAAAUGCGCAGAUAUCGGGAAGAACACCCGUGGCGAAGGCGGCUCUCUGGGACGGUACUGACGCUGAGACGCGAAAGCGUGGGGAGCGAACAGG